rnacentral:rRNA from 1 species
GACGUCAGCCAAACUCCGAAUGCCAGAGUGUGAGAGCGCGGCAGUGAGACUGCGGGGGAUAAGCUUCGUAGUCGAGAGGGAAACAGCCCAGAUCGCCGGCUAAGGCCCCUAAGCGUGUACUAAGUGGAAAAGGAUGUGGGGUCGCGAAGACAACCAGGAGGUUGGCUUAGAAGCAGCCACCCUUGAAAGAGUGCGUAAUAGCUCACUGGUCAAGUGAUCCUGCGCCGACAAUGUAGCGGGGCUCAAGUACACCGCCGAAGCCGCGGCAUUCACAUAACACCCAUGCGGGUCUACGGGCCUGUGUGCAGUGGUGUGGAUGGGUAGGGGAGCGUCGUGCAGCCAUGGAAGCGCCGGAGUGAUCCAGGUGUGGAGGCUGCACGAGUGAGAAUGCAGGCAUGAGUAGCGAAAGACGAGUGAGAAACUCGUCCGCCGAAUGACCAAGGGUUCCUGGGCCAGGUUAAUCCGCCCAGGGUGAGUCGGGACCUAAGGCGAGGCCGACAGGCGUAGUCGAUGGACAACGGGUUGAUAUUCCCGUACCCGUGUGAACGCGCCCCUGGUGAAUCAGUGAUGCUAAGCGCCCUGAAGCCGCCUUCGAACCUUCGGGUUCUCCGGUGUGUGGAUGCGCGUGAACCGAUCUGGUAGUAGCCAAGCGAUGGGGUGACGCAGGAAGGUAGCUGAGCCAGUCAGUGGUAAUACUGGUGUAAGCGUGUAGGGCGUGACCUAGGCAAAUCCGGGUCACAUACAGCCUGAGACGUGAUGCGUAGCCGAUUGAGGCGAAUUCAGUGAUCCUAUGCUGCCGAGAAAAGCCUCUAGCGAGCUUUCACACGGCCCGUACCCCAAACCGACACAGGUGGUCAGGUAGAGAAUACUAAGGCGAUCGAGAUAACUGUGGUUAAGGAACUCGGCAAAAUGCCCCCGUAACUUCGGGAGAAGGGGGGCCUCGUCUGGUGACGGAACUUGCUUCCUGAGCUGGGUGGGGCCGCAGAGACCAGAGAGAAGCGACUGUUUACUAAAAACACAGGUCCGUGCGAAGUCGUAAGACGAUGUAUACGGACUGACGCCUGCCCGGUGCUGGAAGGUUAAGAGGACCGGUUAGCCAGUAAUGGCGAAGCUGAGAAUUUAAGCCCCAGUAAACGGCGGUGGUAACUAUAACCAUCCUAAGGUAGCGAAAUUCCUUGUCGGGUAAGUUCCGACCUGCACGAAUGGCGUAACGACUUCUCUGCUGUCUCAACCACAGACUCGGCGAAAUUGCAUUACGAGUAAAGAUGCUCGUUACGCGCGGCAGGACGAAAAGACCCCGGACCUUCACUAUAGCUUGGUAUUGGUGUUCGGUUCGGUUUGUGUAGGAUAGGUGGGAGACUGUGAAGCGGGCACGCCAGUGUUCGUGGAGUCGUUGUUGAAAUACCACUCUGAUCGUAUUGGACAUCUAACCUCGGACCAUGAUCUGGUUCAGGGACAGUGCCUGGUGGGUAGUUUAACUGGGGCGGUUGCCUCCCAAAAUGUAACGGAGGCGCCCAAAGGUUCCCUCAGCCUGGUUGGCAAUCAGGUGUCGAGUGCAAGUGCACAAGGGAGCUUGACUGUGAGACUGACAGGUCGAGCAGGGACGAAAGUCGGGACUAGUGAUCCGGCACCGGCAAGUGGAAGCGGUGUCGCUCAACGGAUAAAAGGUACCCCGGGGAUAACAGGCUGAUCUUCCCCAAGAGUCCAUAUCGACGGGAUGGUUUGGCACCUCGAUGUCGGCUCGUCGCAUCCUGGGGCUGGAGUAGGUCCCAAGGGUUGGGCUGUUCGCCCAUUAAAGCGGCACGCGAGCUGGGUUUAGAACGUCGUGAGACAGUUCGGUCUCUAUCCGCCGCGCGCGUUAGAAACUUGAGGAAGGCUGUCCCUAGUACGAGAGGACCGGGACGGACGAACCUCUGGUGUGCCAGUUGUUCCGCCAGGAGCACUGCUGGUUAGCUACGUUCGGAAGGGAUAACCGCUGAAAGCAUCUAAGCGGGAAGCCUGUUCCAAGAUGAGGUUUCUCACCCCCUCGAGGGGUAAGGCCCCCGGCAGACCACCGGUUGAUAGGCCAGAACUGGAAGCACAGUAAUGUGUGGAGGUGACUGGUACUAAUAGGCCGAGGACUUACCACAA